rnacentral:rRNA from 2 species
CAGUCGAACGAACUCUGGUAUUGAUUGGUGCUUGCAUCAUGAUUUACAUUUGAGUGAGUGGCGAACUGGUGAGUAACACGUGGGAAACCUGCCCAGAAGCGGGGGAUAACACCUGGAAACAGAUGCUAAUACCGCAUAACAACUUGGACCGCAUGGUCCGAGCUUGAAAGAUGGCUUCGGCUAUCACUUUUGGAUGGUCCCGCGGCGUAUUAGCUAGAUGGUGGGGUAACGGCUCACCAUGGCAAUGAUACGUAGCCGACCUGAGAGGGUAAUCGGCCACAUUGGGACUGAGACACGGCCCAAACUCCUACGGGAGGCAGCAGUAGGGAAUCUUCCACAAUGGACGAAAGUCUGAUGGAGCAACGCCGCGUGAGUGAAGAAGGGUUUCGGCUCGUAAAACUCUGUUGUUAAAGAAGAACAUAUCUGAGAGUAACUGUUCAGGUAUUGACGGUAUUUAACCAGAAAGCCACGGCUAACUACGUGCCAGCAGCCGCGGUAAUACGUAGGUGGCAAGCGUUGUCCGGAUUUAUUGGGCGUAAAGCGAGCGCAGGCGGUUUUUUAAGUCUGAUGUGAAAGCCUUCGGCUCAACCGAAGAAGUGCAUCGGAAACUGGGAAACUUGAGUGCAGAAGAGGACAGUGGAACUCCAUGUGUAGCGGUGAAAUGCGUAGAUAUAUGGAAGAACACCAGUGGCGAAGGCGGCUGUCUGGUCUGUAACUGACGCUGAGGCUCGAAAGUAUGGGUAGCAAACAGGAUUAGAUACCCUGGUAGUCCAUACCGUAAACGAUGAAUGCUAAGUGUUGGAGGGUUUCCGCCCUUCAGUGCUGCAGCUAACGCAUUAAGCAUUCCGCCUGGGGAGUACGGCCGCAAGGCUGAAACUCAAAGGAAUUGACGGGGGCCCGCACAAGCGGUGGAGCAUGUGGUUUAAUUCGAAGCUACGCGAAGAACCUUACCAGGUCUUGACAUACUAUGCAAAUCUAAGAGAUUAGACGUUCCCUUCGGGGACAUGGAUACAGGUGGUGCAUGGUUGUCGUCAGCUCGUGUCGUGAGAUGUUGGGUUAAGUCCCGCAACGAGCGCAACCCUUAUUAUCAGUUGCCAGCAUUAAGUUGGGCACUCUGGUGAGACUGCCGGUGACAAACCGGAGGAAGGUGGGGAUGACGUCAAAUCAUCAUGCCCCUUAUGACCUGGGCUACACACGUGCUACAAUGGAUGGUACAACGAGUUGCGAACUCGCGAGAGUAAGCUAAUCUCUUAAAGCCAUUCUCAGUUCGGAUUGUAGGCUGCAACUCGCCUACAUGAAGUCGGAAUCGCUAGUAAUCGCGGAUCAGCAUGCCGCGGUGAAUACGUUCCCGGGCCUUGUACACACCGCCCGUCACACCAUGAGAGUUUGUAACACCCAAAGUCGGUGGGGUAACCUUUAG